AGUCGUAGCAGUAGCUCGUGCAUGUCUAGUAGACGUAGCUAGGUAUAGUUAAAUUAGUGUAAACGUGUGAGUAACACCUGAGUGAUCUGCCCUGCGCUCUGUAAUAACCCUGGGAAACUGGGUCUAAUACCGGAUAUGACCUCUUGAUGCAUGGUCUGGGGUGGAAAGUUUUUCGGUGCAGGAUGAGCCCGCGGCCUAUCAGCUUGUUGGUGGGGUAAUGGCCUACCAAGGCGACGACGGGUAGCCGGCCUGAAAGGCCGACCGGCCACACUGGGACUGACACACGGCCCUCACUCCUACGGGAGGCAGCAGUGGGUAAUAUUGCACAAUGGGCGCAAGCCUGAUGCAGCGACGCCGCGUGAGGAAUGACGGCCUUCGGGUUGUAAACCUCUUUCACCCAUGACGAAGCUGCAAGUGACGGUAGUGGGAGAAGAAGCACCGGCCAACUACGUGCCAGCAGCCGCGGUAAUACGUAGGGUGCGAGCGUUGUCCGGAAUUACUGGGCGUAAAGAGCUCGUAGGCGGUUUGUCUCGUCGUCUGUGAAAUCCCGCAGCUCAUCUGCUCCCUUGCAUGCGAUACGGACAUACUCGAGUACUGGAGGGGAGACUGUAAUUCCUGGUGUAACGGUGAUAUGCGCGUAUAUCAGGAGGAACACCAUUUGGCGGAGGAGGGUCUCUGGGCAGUAACUGACGCUGAGGAGCGACUGCGUGUCAUGCGAAAAGGAUUAGAUACCCUGGUAGUCCACGCCGUAUGCGGUGCGCGCUAGGAGUGAUGUUCCUUGCACGGUAUCUCUGACGUGACCCACGCAUUAAGCUCAUCGCCUGGAGUGACCGCCCGCGAGACUAAAACUCAAGGAAGAGACUCGGAGCCAAUUGAAGGGGCCCA
rnacentral:rRNA from 2 species